UUGAUUGAUGAGUCCACAACUGUAGUGUUGAUUCGAGUUAAGAAGAUAAUAAUGCAUUUUGGUUCGCUGUUUUCUUUUUUUUUUUUUUUUCAAGGAAAAAGAAAAGUAAUAACAAGAACCAAGUCU